ACAGAAGGAUGGGUGAGCCUCAUUCAUACAAAUGACUAAAAAAGAAUGUAGACUGAACCACCAUCUCACAGGACCUGCAUGGCACCCGAGGGCUCACAGCUGAAAUGGUUGUAAGUUCAAUAAAACAAGAUUCUGCAAUCAAAUAUCAAUACAAAUGAAUAUUAAAACAAAGGAAAGCAAGUUUCUUACUAUUUCUGAAUCUUCUGUCAGCUAGCAAAUUUGUUUGAGGUUGGUCUUUAGAUUCAACAGUCAUCAAGGAAGACUGAUAGAAAUAUUGGUGAACAAAUGGUAAGAUCACUUAAUUUCUUAUUUUCUUGGAAGAUAAAGAAAAAAAACCCCAAACUAACAACAACAGAAGAGAAACCUUACAGAAAUCCUCCAAUUACAACCCCUUUCAGGUUUCUCAUCCCAAACUUGCAAUGUUUCAUCUUCAUCUCAGAGUGGAAGUCUAUACAGGUUAUGUAUUACAGUGGCAUCCUUGAAGAAGAUGAAUCGUGAGGCAACAUUGAGGGCUUCUAUGAUUUCCGUACUGAGAACACAUGAUGCAGUGACUGACACAGCAACAACUUUUGGAAUUCCACG